rnacentral:tRNA from 1 species
GAGCCUGUAGCUCAGUGGAAAGAGCACCAGCCUCCGGAGCUGGGUGUCGGGGGUUCAAAUCCCCCCAGGCUCA